CUAUUGUCAUCUCAUUGUUCCUCGCUGAUUGACCUCGCCUUAAGCUUCUGCUCAUACAUUGAUGACUCUAGGCUUGGUUCUUUAGAGUAUUGCAAGAAAUUGGUGUCUCUUAGGCUGAACUCCACACCACAAAUAACUUCGAUUGUGAUUUUCUCAAUUGCAGUUGGUUGCACUAGCCUAUCUGCUCUCCACCUUAUUGAUUGCGAGGAAAUCGACAAUGUAGAGUGCCUAGAAUACCAUGGUAGGGAUGGACCAUUGGAAGAGCUUGUAGUGAAGAAUUGCAAAGGAAUCAAUCAUCAUGACUUCAUAAAGUUUGGUCUGGGAUGGAUAAAGCUCCAGAAGUUUGAGUUUGAGAGGAAAGGAGAAAGAUAUGAUUGCCUUCUAGGUGAUGUGGUCUAUGACUCCUCGUACGAUGCUCACAGCAUGGAUGUAUAUGAUUUCUGCCGUGAGAGUUUGAAGGAUUUAAGGUUGGCGCAUAUUAAAACUUGGCCAGAAGUAGGACUUCAUGUUCUCCUAGGGAAGUGUAAAGCAUUGGAGAAGCUUUGCCUUGAGUAUGUCCAUGCCCUAAAUGACAAUGACAUGAUUGCAUUGUCUCAGAGCUGCAGCAACCUUAAAAGCAUCUUUCUUAGGCUCAACCUGCAGUGCUACUCUAGCGAUGUCAGCUAUUCUGAAACCAGGACGUCGUUUACUGAUAACAACCUUUACGCGCUAGCCCUCAACCAGCAUAUGCUUCAGACGGUAGACCUCAGCUUUACAAGAUGUUCCCCUGACUGGCCAUCAAAAAUAGGAUUCACACAAGAGGGUUUUCUGGCACUCAUUCAGUCCUGCCCGAUUCGUGUUCUUGUGCUAAAUACCGCCAACUUCUUUGAUGACGAGGGGAUGAAGGCCCUCUCAUCCUCACCACAUCUGGAGACACUUCAGCUUGUAUUGUGUCAUGCGGUAACUGAUGCUGGGAUGCGCUUCAUUGCGCACACCCCAGGCUUGAGUAAUCUCACACUUCAGUUGUGUCAUCACAUUACUGAUGUUGGAGUGGCUGAACUGAGGCGUGCACAUAAGUUA
rnacentral:rRNA from 1 species